rnacentral:rRNA from 1 species
GACGAACGCUGGCGGCGUGCCUAAUACAUGCGAGUUGAGCGCUGAAGGUUGGUACUUGUACCAACUGGAUGAGCAGCGAACGGGUGAGUAACGCGUGGGGAAUCUGCCUUUGAGCGGGGGACAACAUUUGGAAACGAAUGCUAAUACCGCAUAAAAACUUUAAACACAAGUUUUAAGUUUGAAAGAUGCAAUUGCAUCACUCAAAGAUGAUCCCGCGUUGUAUUAGCUAGUUGGUGAGGUAAAGGCUCACCAAGGCGAUGAUACAUAGCCGACCUGAGAGGGUGAUCGGCCACAUUGGGACUGAGACACGGCCCAAACUCCUACGGGAGGCAGCAGUAGGGAAUCUUCGGCAAUGGACGAAAGUCUGACCGAGCAACGCCGCGUGAGUGAAGAAGGUUUUCGGAUCGUAAAACUCUGUUGGUAGAGAAGAACGUUGGUGAGAGUGGAAAGCUCAUCAAGUGACGGUAACUACCCAGAAGGGGACGGCUAACUACGUG